rnacentral:rRNA from 1 species
AGACAUGCAAGUCGAGCGCUGAUUGCGGGGUAGCAAUAUUCCGCAGUUGGAGCGGCGCAAGGGUGCGUAACACGUGGGUAAUCUGCCAUGAAGUCUGGAAUAACUUGCUGAAAGGCGAGCUAAUGCCGGAUGUGAACAUCGGGCGGCAUCGUUUGAUGUUCAAAGUUGGGGACCGUAAGGCCUGACGCUUCAUGAUGAGCCCGCGGCCUAUCAGCUAGUUGGUGAGGUAACGGCUCACCAAGGCUAAGACGGGUAGCUGGUCUGAGAGGACGACCAGCCACACUGGAACUGAGACACGGUCCAGACACCUACGGGUGGCAGCAGUCGAGAAUUUUUCACAAUGGGCGAAAGCCUGAUGGAGCGACGCCGCGUGGGGGAUGAAUGGCUUCGGCCCGUAAACCCCUGUCAUUCGGGAUCAAUGCCUGCGGCCUAAUACGUUGCAGGUUGAUAGUACCGGAAGAGGAAGGGACGGCUAACUCUGUGCCAGCAGCCGCGGUAAUACAGAGGUCCCAAGCGUUGUUCGGAUUCACUGGGCGUAAAGGGUGCGUAGGUGGUCGGGUAAGUCUGAUGUGAAAUCUCGGAGCUCAACUCCGAAACGGCAUUGGAUACUAUUCGGCUUGAGGAUUGGAGGGGGGACUGGAAUUCUCGGUGUAGCAGUGAAAUGCGUAGAUAUCGAGAGGAACACCAGUGGCGAAGGCGAGUCCCUGGACAAUUCCUGACACUAAGGCACGAAAGCUAGGGGAGCAAACAGGAUUAGAUACCCUGGUAGUCCUAGCCGUAAACGGUGCACGUUUGCUGUAAAAGGAAUCGACCCCUUUUGUGGCGUAGCCAACGCGUUAAACGUGCCGCCUGGGAAAGU